rnacentral:rRNA from 1 species
GACGAACGCUGGCGGCGUGCCUAAUACAUGCAAGUCGAACGCUUCUUUCCUCCCGAGUGCUUGCACUCAAUUGGAAAGAGGAGGGGCGGACGGGUGAGUAACACGUGGGUAACCUACCCAUCAGAGGGGGAUAACACUUGGAAACAGGAGCUAAUACCGCAUAACAGUUUAUGCCGCAUGGCAUAAGAGUGAAAGGCGCUUUCGGGUGUCGUUGAUGGAUGGACCCGCGGUGCAUUAGCUAGUUGGUGAGGUAACGGCUCACCAAGGCCACGAUGCAUAGCCGACCGGAGAGGGUGAUCGGCCACACUGGGACUGAGCCACGGCCCAGACUCCUACGGGAGGCAGCAGUAGGGAAUCUUCGGCAAUGGACGAAAGUCUGACCGAGCAACGCCGCGUGAGUGAAGAAGGUUUUCGGAUCGUAAAACUCUGUUGUUAGAGAAGAACAAGGACGUUAGUAACUGAACGUCCCCUGACGGUAUCUAACCAGAAAGCCACGGCUAACUACGUG